AUUUUUCUGCGUUAGGGAUGGAAGCGGCAUCCUUUUGCGGGAAUAUAAAGAUCUUUUUUCCUCUGAAAGCUCUUUGCAAAAGAUACAGCGGACAGCCCGACCCGAA
rnacentral:sRNA from 1 species